CAUUUAGUAAUUUAGACUUUGAAGCCAUUGGAAGAAUCUUAAUUAAACCUUUUUUAGGCAUGAAAAAAUAGCUAUUACAGUGCUUGCAAAACCUAUCUUUCGCUUGGCUCAUGCGUUAUUAGGAUGAUGCUUAAAUUAUUAUUUUUUAAUGUAACUGUGUCUCCUUUAUUAAGAAAUGUUGACUAGACAAGUGAUCUGUCCAAAUUUAAAACUAGAAAUAGAACCUUUAUCUCCCACCCUGUCUGAAUUAUUCUUUCCAUAUGUAGCUGCUUAGUUGUGUCUUUACCACUAAUUAACCAUGUGAACUCUAAGCAAGUUAUUUUACUUUUCUUCAUCUUUUUAUCUUUUGUAAAAUUAGGGGGUUAUUAUGAAUCAUUUCUAACAUCUCUGCUAAUGCCCCAGAUACUGUAAAUGACCCAGAAUGUAAUUGCGGGCAGUGUUAACUUAGCUUCCUAGAAGAUGGGGGAUAUGACUGGGCCUUGAAUAAAAUCCAAGAUUUGGCAGAGUAGAGAGGGAAAGAAUUCAUGAGAUGGGGAGCAGUAGAACAAAGGCUUAGGUGUGAAUAUGUGGCUGUAGUAAAGAGAAAUGGCCUGAUUAUAGCAAUUAUAUGAGGUUUAGUAGAACCAUUUAAGAAAGGUAAAGCCACUUCAUAGAAAUUAUUUUAUCCCUGAAUGAUCUCUCACCACUCCAUUUUGUUUAUGACCUCAGUGGUCGUAAGAGGUAUAUGUGGGGGGUUAAUAAAUGGGGGAACUGAAGCAUGAAGAAUUAAGCAUGUUUGCUCAAAAUCAUACUUGUAGUUUUCUAGGAAGCCAGAAAUAAAAAUCAGGACUCAUGAGCCUUUUCCUUUAGCGAAGUUCUAGAUAAAUUCCAGAGUUCAGCAGUUUGCUUAAUGUAUUGGUUUCCUAUUGCUUAUAACAUCACCCCAAACUUACUAGCUUAAAACAAACACACUUAUUAGCUCAUAGUUCUGUUGGUCAGAAGUUUGGCAUGGAUUGUGUAUCUGGGAUCUCAGAAUAUCACAAGGCUGAAAUCAAAAUGUCAGGCUGGGCUAAGUUCUCACCUGGAGGCUCUGGGGGAAAAUCUGCCUCCAGGUUCAUUCAAAUUGUUUGCCAAAUUCAGUUCCUUGCAGUUAUAGGGCUGAGGUUCCUAUUUCUUUGCUGUCUGUCACCGGGGAACUGUUCUCAGUACCCAGAGGCUGCCUAUAAUCUGCCUUUUGGCC
rnacentral:lncRNA from 1 species